UCACUGGGAUUACAGGUGUGUGCCACUGUGCCUGGCUCAAACCUCAUCAUAUUCUUUAGAAAUACGUCACUAAGUACAGUCUCCAGUAGCAAUGGGAAUUAAGUUCUCCCUCUUGGAGGGAGGAAAUCAAAGAAUCUGAAGACAUAUCUUGAAACCACUAUACUAGAUGUUGGAAAUGUAAAAGGCAAAAAACAACAUUAAGUAUUACAGAGGUAGCAAUUGCAUUACAAUUGCAAUUAGUAUUAUGGAGGAAGGAGGCUGUAAUUAUUAAAACUCAGAAGUUUACAGAGAAGGGAGCUGGGGGCAUAAUAUAGCGGGGUGGCUUAGCAUACAGGAGACCCUGGUUCAAACCCUGACACGCACACAAACACAUUAUAUAUAUAUAUAUAUAUAUAUAUAUAUAUAUAUAUAUAUUUAUUUGCAGAAAAGGCCCCAUGCAGCAGAAGCUCAGAUUUACAAAGAGGUACCAGCCAUCUGGUGCUUACGUCUGAGUCCGGGAAGCUCCUGUGAGCGUGGACCCAAACAGCUGCGGAGGAUGCUCUACUUCACCCUUGCUCGUCCUCGAGAGGGUUCAGAGAACCUCUUCUGUGAGUUCUACAAAGAAACAAAAGUCCCUGCAAGUUGGAAUAAAUUGCCACUUCAAGGGAGAAAUGCUGCGGAAGUGAUGCUCAGAGCAUGUCAGUCAAAGGAACAAGUGCCUGCUGCCUCCAAGUCGCCAGCCUCUUGCUAGCGCCCCCUGCAGGCAGGUCCUAGCAAGCCGGCAGUAGGCAAAGUGCAAAGGUGGUUUGCGGAGGCCUGCCCCGCCCCUGCCCCAGCCCCAGCCCAGGCCCUGUCCCAGCCCUAAGAAGCAAGGUAGAGGACAGCUGGUUUGAAGUUGAGAGGAGCUUAGUAACUUUAUUUUUAAAUUUUAGUUUUGCAGUGCUGAGAAUCAAAAGCAGGGCCUCUUGCAUGCUAGACAGACGCUCUACCAUUGAGCUACACCUCAUCCCCUAACAUACUUUAUUAAUUUGAAAAAAUUAGAUGAAGCUACACAAAAUCAAAGAACAAAAUAUGAUCCCCAAUACUGUUUUGUAGUUUCCCUACCCAGGGGCAAUCAUUGUUUUGUGAGUGUGAGUAUGUGGUACUGGGAAUUGAACCCAGGGGUGCUCUACCCUCUUAGCUACAUUCCACACUUGUUCUUUUUUAUUUUUAGAUACAGUUUUGCAAAGCUGCUGAGGCUGACCUCAAACUUUCAAUCUCCUGCCUCAGCCUCCUGAGUCUCUGGGAUUAUAGGCACACACCACCACACCCAGCCAGAGGCUAUGACUCUCACUAAUAACCUGUUGAACAUCUUUCCUGAAGUGUCCUUAUUUUAUAAAUGAGAAAAUUGGCACAGAGAAGCUGGGAGUUACUAACAGACACACAGCAAGGGAUAGAAGCAGGGUUUAAUCCAAGGCUGUCCCCGCUCCAAAGCCCAUUCUUUUAACCAUUGUGGAUCAUGCUUACAUACAUGAAUUAUAGUUGAUGUUAUAUGUACAUAGCUUCCUGUAAAUUCUUUCUUAUUUACAAUCAUGCUUUCACAUCUGUCCAUACCAGGGAGUGAAGACUUCAGCACAGGAAUGGGGGAGACAUGUGAUUCACCCCUUCCUGCUCCCUACCAAAGCAUCACCCACAUCGUGAACGAACAAAAAGCUUUACUUUAAAAGACACAUUCAAAACAGCCUCAUGGGGAUGUGAUGCACACAUCACAUGGGAGGCUGAGGCAGGAAGAUAGAAAUUUUCCAAUUACCCUGGACAACUUAAAUAGUCUCUGUUUCAAAAUAACAAAACCAGUGUAGUGGUGCACACCUAUAAUCCCCACCACUCAGAGCUGAGGCAGGAGGAUUGCAAGUACAAGGCCAAUCUGAGGAACUUAGCAAGGCCCUGCACAACUAGUCUCUAAAUAAAAAGUAAACAAAGGGGGGGCACAUGAGGAUGUGGCUCAGUGGUUAAGCACCCAUGGUUCAAUCCCCAAUAACAAGAGAAAGAGAGAGAGAAGGAAAGGAAGGAGGAGGGAGAGGGAUAAAGGAUGUCGCUCAAUGGUAGAGCGCCCCUGGGUUCAACCCCCAGGACUACAAACAACAAAAUUUCCCAUUAGGACUUAACACAUUUUAUUAUCUAUUCUUCUAAUGUAGACAUUCAGGUUCAUCUACUUCACAAAGUUUUUUUUUUUUUAUAGCUCUUAAAUAUCCCAGAAAUGAUUCUAAGUGCUUUGUGAGUUUUCAUCUUUUCAAUGUAAAAUGUGUCCCCAGAGACCCAGUGUGAGGAUUUCUAUAGAAAUGAAAUAUUUUAGCUGCACCA
rnacentral:lncRNA from 1 species